GAUGAAGAACGUAGCGAAAUGCGAUAAGUAGUGUGAAUUGCAGAAUUCAGUGAAUCAUCGAAUCUUUGAACGCACAUAGCGCCCCUUGGUAUUCCAUGGGGCAUGCCUGUUCGAGCGUCAUUUGUACCUUCAAGCUUUGCUUGGUGUUGGGUGUUUGUCUCGCCUUUGCGUGUAGACUCGCCUUAAAAUAAUUGGCAGCCGGCGUAUUGAUUUCGGAGCGCAGUACAUCUCGCGCUUUGCACUCAUAACGACAGCGUCCAAAAGUACAUUUUACACUCUUGACCUCGGAUCAGGUAGGGAUACCCGCUGAACUUAAGCAUAUCAAUAAGCGGAGGA
rnacentral:misc_RNA from 1 species